UACGGAGGGGGCUAGCGUUGUUCGGAAUUACUGGGCGUAAAGCGCACGUAGGCGGCUUUGCAAGUUAGAGGUGAAAGCCCGGGGCUCAACUCCGGAAUUGCCUUUAAAACUGCAUCGCUAGAAUUGUGGAGAGGUAAGUGGAAUUCCGAGUGUAGAGGUGAAAUUCGUAGAUAUUCGGAAGAACACCAGUGGCGAAGGCGACUUACCGGACACAUAUUGACGCUGAGGUGCGAAAGCGUGGGGAGCAAACAGG
rnacentral:rRNA from 1 species